CAGCAGCCGCGGUAAUACGGAGGGGGCUAGCGUUGUUCGGAAUUACUGGGCGUAAAGCGCACGUAGGCGGCUUGGUAAGUUAGAGGUGAAAGCCCGGAGCUCAACUCCGGAAUUGCCUUUAAGACUGCCGAGCUAGUAGGUGAGGGAGGUAAGUGGAAUUCCGAGUGUAGAGGUGAAAUUCGUAGAUAUUCGGAAGAACACCAGUGGCGAAGGCGGCUUACUGGCUCAUUCUAGACGCUGAGGUGCGAAAGCGUGGGGAGCAAACAGGAUUAGAUACCCGCGUAGUCCCUGUCUCUUAUAC
rnacentral:rRNA from 1 species